rnacentral:lncRNA from 1 species
UUCCUUAAAUCCAUUAGAUCUCCUAAGGUGACAAAUCUACUCUAGCUGUUUAUAAACAGAACAUAUCGUCAGAUCUGACAAAGAGCAAGCAACUAUGGGGCAGGAGAAGGAAAGAGAGAGAUUGUUUUGAAGAGC